AACGAACGCUGGCGGCAUGCCUAACACAUGCAAGUCGAACGAGACCUUCGGGUCUAGUGGCGCACGGGUGCGUAACGCGUGGGAACCUGCCCUUAGGUUCGGAAUAACUCCCCGAAAGGGGUGCUAAUACCGGAUAAUGUCUUCGGACCAAAGAUUUAUCGCCUUUGGAUGGGCCCGCGUUGGAUUAGCUAGUUGGUAGGGUAAAAGCCUACCAAGGCGACGAUCCAUAGCUGGUCUGAGAGGAUGAUCAGCCACACUGGGACUGAGACACGGCCAGACUCCUACGGGAGGCAGCAGUGGGGAAUAUUGGACAAUGGGCGAAAGCCUGAUCCAGCAAUACCGCGUGAGUGAUGAAGGCCUUAGGGUUGUAAAGCUCUUUUACCCGGGAUGAUAAUGACAGUACCGGGAGAAUAAGCUCCGGCUAACUCCGUG
rnacentral:rRNA from 1 species